AAAUUUUGAAUGGCCGCAGUAAUUUGACUGUGCGAAGGUAGCAUAAUCAUUAGUUUUUUAAUUAAAAGCUUGUAUGAAUGGUUGGACGAGAUAAAAUCUGUCUUUGAUUAAAUUUUAGAAUUUAAUUUUUAAGUUAAAAAGCUUAAAUUUUUAUAAAAGACGAGAAGACCCUAUAGAUCUUUAUAGUAUUAUAUUUAUUUUUAAUUAAGAUUAUUUUAUUAUUUAAAUUUAAUAUUAUUUUAUUGGGGUAAUAUGAAGAUUAAUUUAAUUCUUUAUUAUAUUUUUUCAAUAAUUUUUGUUUAUUUGAUCCUUAAUUUAAGAUUAAAAGAUUAAGUUACCUUAGGGAUAACAGCGUAAUUUUUUUAAAGAGUUCAUAUCGAUAAAAAAGUUUGCGACCUCGAUGUUGGAUUAAAAAUAAUUCUAGGUGUAGAAGUUUAGAUUAUUGGUCUGUUCGACCAUUAUAUUUUU
rnacentral:rRNA from 1 species